rnacentral:rRNA from 1 species
AAUAGAUACCCCGGUAGUCCACGCCGUAAACGAUGGAUACUAGCUGUUGGGCGCAAGUUCAGUGGCUAAGCGAAAGUGAUAAGUAUCCCACCUGGGGAGUACGAACGCAAGUUUGAAACUCAAAGGAAUUGACGGGGGCCCGCACAAGCGGUGGAGCAUGUGGUUUAAUUCGAUGAUACGCGAGGAACCUUACCAAGGCUUAAAUGCAGACUGACCGGUUUGGAAACAGACCUUUCGCAAGACGGUCUACAAGGUGCUGCAUGGUUGUCGUCAGCUCGUGCCGUGAGGUGUCAGGUUAAGUCCUAUAACGAGCGCAACCCCUGUUGUUAGUUGCCAGCGAGUCAUGUCGGGAACUUUAGCAAGACUGCCAGUGCAAACUGUGAGGAAGGUGGGGAUGACGUCAAAUCAUCACGGCCCUUACGCCUUGGGCUACACACGUGCUACAAUGGCCGGUACAGAGAGCAGCCACCCCGGCGAGGGGGAGCGAAUCUAUAAAGCCGGUCACAGUUCGGAUCGGAGUCUGCAACUCGACUCCG